UGGUUUGUGGCUAAGAGGUAAGGUGUUGGUCUUGUAAACCAAAAAUCAUGGGUUCAGUCCCCAUCCAUGCCUA